UACAUAGGUCGCAAGCGUUAUCCGGAAUUAUUGGGCGUAAAGAGUUCGUAGGUUGUUUGUUAAGUCUGGAGUUAAAGCCCGAAGCUCAACUUCGGUUCGCUUUGGAUACUGGCAAACUGGAAUGACAAAGAGGUUAACGGAAUUUCUAGUGAAGCGGUGGAAUGCGUAGAUAUUAGAAAGAACACCAAUAGGCGAAGGCAGUUAACUGGUUGUUUAUUGACACUGAGGAACGAAAGCGUGGGGAGCAAACA
rnacentral:rRNA from 1 species